rnacentral:rRNA from 1 species
UACGAAGGGGGCUAGCGUUGUUCGGAAUUACUGGGCGUAAAGCGCGCGCAGGCGGUCCGUCAAGUCAGGGGUGAAAGCCCAGAGCUCAACUCUGGAACUGCCUUUGAGACUGUAGGACUUGGGUACGGGAGAGGUGAGUGGAAUUCCGAGUGUAGAGGUGAAAUUCGUAGAUAUUCGGAAGAACACCAGUGGCGAAGGCGGCUCACUGGCCCGUUACCGACGCUCAGGCGCGACAGCGUGGGGAGCAAACAGG